GUGGGGAAUCUUGCGCAAUGGGCGAAAGCCUGACGCAGCCAUGCCGCGUGAAUGAUGAAGGUCUUAGGAUUGUAAAAUUCUUUCACCGGGGACGAUAAUGACGGUACCCGGAGAAGAAGCUCCGGCUAACUUCGUGCCAGCAGCCGCGGUAAUACGAAGGGGGCUAGCGUUGCUCGGAAUUACCGGGCGUAAAGGGCGCGUAGGCGGACAGCUUAGUCAGAGGUGAAAGCCCAGGGCUCAACCUUGGAAUUGCCUUUGAUACUGGCUGUCUUGAGUUUGGGAGAGGUGAGUGGAACUCCGAGUGUAGAGGUGAAAUUCGUAGAUAUUCGGAAGAACACCAGUGGCGAAGGCGGCUCACUGGACUGGUAUUGACGCUGAGGUGCGAAAGCGUGGGGAGCAAACAGGAUUAGAUACCCGAGUAGUCC
rnacentral:rRNA from 1 species